AUACGUAGGGGGCGAGCGUUAUCCGGAUUUACUGGGUGUAAAGGGCGAGUAGGCGGGAUGGAAAGUCAGAUGUGAAAUACCGAGGCUUAACUUCGGGGCUGCAUUUGAAACUUCCAUUCUUGAGUGAUGGAGAGGCAGGCGGAAUUCCCAGUGUAGCGGUGAAAUGCGUAGAUAUUGGGAAGAACACCAGUGGCGAAGGCGGCCUGCUGGACAUUAACUGACGCUGAGGAGCGAAAGCGUGGGGAGC
rnacentral:rRNA from 1 species